AGAGUUUGAUCAUGGCUCAGGAUUAACGCUAGCGGCAGGCAUAAUACAUGCAAGUUGAACGGGAUUAGUUGUAGCAAUACGACUAUGAGAGUAGCGCACGGGUGCGUAACGCGUAUGCAACCUGCCUCCAACCGGGGAAUAGCCCCUCGAAAGAGGGAUUAAUACCGCAUAAAAUAGUGAAUAGGCAUCUAUUUACUAUUAAAACUACGGUGGUUGGAGAUGGGCAUGCGCGACAUUAGCUAGUUGGUAAGGUAAUGGCUUACCAAGGCUACGAUGUCUAGGGGGUCUGAGAGGAUGUCCCCCCACACUGGUACUGAGAUACGGACCAGACUCCUACGGGAGGCAGCAGUAGGGAAUAUUGGUCAAUGGGCGCAAGCCUGAACCAGCCAUGCCGCGUGCAGGAUGACGGCCCUAUGGGUUGUAAACUGCUUUUGUACGGGAAGAAACCCCACUACGUGUAGUGGGUUGACGGUACCGUGAGAAUAAGGAUCGGCUAACUUCGUGCCAGCAGCCGCGGUAAUACGAAGGAUCCUAGCGUUGUCCGGAUUUACUGGGUUUAAAGGGUGCGUAGGCGGACUUUUAAGUCAGUGGUGAAAGCCUGCAGCUUAACUGUAGAAUUGCCAUUGAAACUGAUUGUCUCGAGUGUGGUUGAGGUCACUGGAAUGUAUCAUGUAGCGGUGAAAUGCUUAGAUAUGAUACAGAACACCAAUUGCGAAGGCAGGUGACUAAGCCAUUACUGACGCUGAUGCACGAAAGCGUGGGGAUCAAACAGGAUUAGAUACCCUGGUAGUCCACGCCCUAAACGUUGAGUACUCGACCUUAGCGAUAUACAGUUAGGGUCCAAGCGAAAGCGUUAAGUAUUCCACCUGGGAAGUACGAUCGCAAGAUUGAAACUCAAAGGAAUUGACGGGGGCCCGCACAAGCGGAGGAGCAUGUGGUUUAAUUCGAUGAUACGCGAGGAACCUUACCUGGGCCUGAAUGUGAGUGACCGCUGCCGAAAGGUGGCUUCCCUUCGGGGCACAAAACAAGGUGCUGCAUGGCUGUCGUCAGCUCGUGCCGUGAGGUGUUGGGUUAAGUCCCGCAACGAGCGCAACCCCUAUCUUUAGUUGCCAUCAGGUUAUGCUGGGGACUCUAAAGAGACUGCCUACGUAAGUAGUGAGGAAGGUGGGGAUGACGUCAAGUCAUCAUGGCCCUUACGUCCAGGGCUACACACGUGCUACAAUGGUAGGUACAAUGAGUUGCAACAUGGUAACAUGAAGCUAAUCUCAAAAAACCUAUCUCAGUUCGGAUUGAGGUCUGCAACUCGACCUCAUGAAGUUGGAUUCGCUAGUAAUCGGAUAUCAGCGACGAUCCGGUGAAUACGUUCCCGGGCCUUGUACACACCGCCCGUCAAGCCAUGGAAGUUGGGAGAACCUGAAGUCGAUAACCGCAAGGAAUCGCCUAAGGUUAUAUCGAUAACUGGGGCUAAGUCGUAACAAGGUA
rnacentral:rRNA from 1 species